rnacentral:sRNA from 1 species
UAUCUCUCUCAUUUUAAACUCCCAGUGGUAGGUUUUGCGUG